rnacentral:lncRNA from 1 species
CGGUAACUGGAAGUGUAAUAAUUGGAAUUAUUUCAAAGUAAGUCCUUUAAGCAUUUUUCUUUCACUGUUGUAUGUUCUGCUUGGGCAUUUUGAGGUAACAGAUUGCUUCUUUUGUCUUAGUUUCUAUGAAACAGUGACUAUAAUGCAAGUUGGAGGAAUAACUGCAUUUGCCACCCUGUUACUGUUUUUAUUUGCCCUGAAGACAAAUAAACCCCUGACAAACAUGACCAUAUCAACCACUACAAGCAUCCUGGGUACUGCUGGGGCAAUCGUUUGUGUCCUUAGAAAUUCAUACGUGUUCCAGGCUCUAUAUGCUCUAUUUGGAAUGCUGCUCUUUGCUACCGAUCUGACGAGGACAGUAGCUGAGCUUGAAAGUCAACCAACAACCAACAAAAAAGUCACAAAGUCAAAGCUUGAAAGCCAACCAACAAAAAUGCAACGUUCUAUGGACUAUGCUGAGGCAGCACAAAGACUUGUCAUAUCUAUUGCUAUGAUCUUCUUCUUCACUUUGCUAUUAGUUGGUUGAACACACAACAAAGAUGAAUAUUUUGGCAAACAUCAGUUUCAGCAAAUGUCCUAAAGGAAGGUGCAUGACAGCUUGUUCGGGCAUUCUGGCAAGGUGAUUACAGGAUGGAUUUUCAUAUAAUAAACUUCCUAUAGAUGAGAAAGUAUCUUAAUGUUACGGGAUGUAUUUUCAUAUAAUAAUCUCCCUACAGGUGAAAUAUUUAUCUUACGGUAUUGUGUGAAAAAGUAUUAAGGAGGGGAGUGGGCAGCUGAGUGUGGUAUAAUGUAGAAUGUAUAUUUUGCCUUGCUCAUGAGAUAGUCUCACCACAAGGCUUAGGGUCAGACUCAUUAAUUAAUGAGUUAUGUUGCACGUAUUGCCAAAACUGAAAAUGAAAAACUUAUGGGGAAAUGAAAAAAUUCAAGGGGAAAAUGAAAAGCUUAUGGGGACUGCAGAGAAAGGAAGAGGGAAAAUAUUCGAGGGGGUCAUGACUGGUUACUGUGAAUAUCUUUUAAGGGUCAUUAUUUUUACUUUCUGAUGCUAGGUAAGUUGAAAAACUGGCAAAACAGAAAUCUGGAUAAAGUGAGAGAAAGGAAAAGGAAAAGUCAGGAGUGAGAUCACUUUAGGAUUAAUUACUGCAACAUCCUGAACAUGGGCACACAUCUGAAAUGUAUGUAGCAAAUUACAUAAGAAUUUGAGAUUUAACUCUGUAUUAGCAGUAUACAGCUAGUUUUGGAAGACUUUGAGCUAUUGACAAUAUCCCCUAACUUCAGUGCCUACUUCCCUUAAGGCUGAGGCUGUAAGCUGAAACAAAUAUAUCUCACUCCUGUUGUCAC